GUUGUAUAGUCAAGUAAUUAAGUGCAUGUGGUGGAUGCCUUGGCAGUCAGAGGCGAUGAAAGACGUGAUAGCCUGCGAAAAGCUCCGGGGAGGCGGCAAAUAUCCUUUGAUCCGGAGAUGUCUGAAUGGGGGAACCCACCUACUUUAAGGUAGGUAUUGCAACAUGAAUACAUAGUGUUGCAAGGCGAACGAGGGGAAGUGAAACAUCUCAGUACCCUUAGGAAAAGAAAUCAAUUGAGAUUCCCUCAGUAGCGGCGAGCGAACGGGGAUCAGCCCAUUAAGUUAUGUGUGUUUUAGUGGAACGCUCUGGGAAGUGCGAACGUAGAGGGUGAUAUUCCCGUACACGAAAGGGCACACAUAAUGAUGACGAGUAGGGCGAGGCACGUGAAACCUUGUCUGAAUAUGGGGGGACCAUCCUCCAAGGCUAAAUACUCCUGACUGACCGAUAGUGAACCAGUACCGUGAGGGAAAGGCGAAAAGAACCCCUGUGAGGGGAGUGAAAUAGAUCCUGAAACCGCAUGCAUACAAGCAGUGGGAGCACCUUCGUGGUGUGACUGCGUACCUUUUGUAUAAUGGGUCAGCGACUUAUAUUCAGUAGCAAGGUUAACCGUAUAGGGGAGCCGUAGAGAAAUCGAGUCUUAAUAGGGCGUUUAGUUGCUGGGUAUAGACCCGAAACCAGGCGAUCUAUCCAUGAGCAGGUUGAAGGUUGGGUAACACUAACUGGAGGACCGAACCCACUGUCGUUGAAAAGCCAGGGGAUGACUUGUGGAUAGGGGUGAAAGGCUAAUCAAGCCUGGUGAUAGCUGGUUCUCCCCGAAAGCUAUUUAGGUAGCGCCUCGGACGAAUACCAUAGGGGGUAGAGCACUGUUUCGGCUAGGGGGUCAUCCCGACUUACCAAACCGAUGCAAACUCCGAAUACCUAUGAGUACUAUCCGGGAGACAGACUGCGGGUGCUAACGUCCGUAGUCAAGAGGAAAACAAUCCAGACCGCCAGCUAAGGCCCCAAAAUCAUAGUUAAGUGGGAAACGAUGUGGGAAGGCAUAGACAGCUAGGAGGUUGGCUUAGAAGCAGCCACCCUUUAAAGAAAGCGUAAUAGCUCACUAGUCGAGUCGGCCUGCGCGGAAGAUGUAACGGGGCUAAAACUAUGUGCCGAAGCUGCGGAUUUGACAUUAGUCAAGUGGUAGGGGAGCGUUCUGUAAGCCGAUGAAGGUGUAUUGAGAAGUAUGCUGGAGGUAUCAGAAGUGCGAAUGCUGACGUGAGUAACGACAAAACGGGUGAAAAACCCGUUCGCCGAAAGACCAAGGGUUCCAGUCCAACGUUAAUCGGGGCUGGGUGAGUCGACCCCUAAGGCGAGGCCGAAAGGCGUAGUCGAUGGGAAAAUGGUUAAUAUUCCAUUACUUCUGUGUAAUGCGAUGAGAGGACGGAGAAGGCUAAAUCAGCCUGGCGUUGGUUGUCCAGGUGAAAGGAUGUAGGCAUGUAUCUUAGGCAAAUCCGGGGUACUCUAUGCUGAGAUCUGAUAGCAAGCUGUACUUGUACAGCGAAGUGGUUGAUGCCAUGCUUCCAGGAAAAGUCUCUAAGCUUCAGUUACACAGGAAUCGUACCCGAAACCGACACAGGUGGUCAGGUCGAGUAGACCAAGGCGCUUGAGAGAACUCUGCUGAAGGAACUAGGCAAAAUGGUACCGUAACUUCGGGAGAAGGUACGCUGUUGUUGGUGAUGGAACUCGCUUCCUGAGCUGACGACAGCCGCAGAAACCAGGCCGCUGCAACUGUUUAUUAAAAACAUAGCACUCUGCAAACACGAAAGUGGACGUAUAGGGUGUGAUGCCUGCCCGGUGCUGGAAGGUUAAUUGAUGGGGUUAGCGUAAGCGAAGCUCUUGAUCGAAGCCCCAGUAAACGGCGGCCGUAACUAUAACGGUCCUAAGGUAGCGAAAUUCCUUGUCGGGUAAGUUCCGACCUGCACGAAUGGCAUAAUGAUGGCGGCGCUGUCUCCAGCAGAGGCUCAGUGAAAUCGAAAUCGCUGUGAAGAUGCAGUGUACCCGCGGCUAGACGGAAAGACCCCGUGAACCUUUACUGCAGCUUGACACUGAACUUUGACCUUACUUGUGUAG
rnacentral:rRNA from 1 species